GAUGAACGCUGGCGGCGUGCUUAACACAUGCAAGUCGAGCGAGAAAAGUUCUUCGGAGUUUUUCUAGCGGCGGACGGGUGAGUAACACGUGGGCAACCUGCCUCAUAGAGGGGAAUAGCCUUCCGAAAGGAAGAUUAAUACCGCAUAACAUUGUUGAAAGGCAUCUUUUAACAAUCAAAGGAGCAAUCCGCUAUGAGAUGGGCCCGCGGCGCAUUAGCUAGUUGGUGAGGUAACGGCUCACCAAGGCGACGAUGCGUAGCCGACCUGAGAGGGUAGUCGGCCACAGUGGAACUGAGACACGGUCCAGACUCCUACGGGAGGCAGCAGUGGGGAAUAUUGCAAAAUGGGGGAAACCCUGAUGCAGCAACGCCGCGUGAGUGAUGAAGGUCUUCGGAUUGUAAAGCUCUGUCUUUAGGGACGAUAAUGACGGUACCUAAGGAGGAAGCCACGGCUAACUACGUGCCAGCCGCCGCUGUAAAAC
rnacentral:rRNA from 1 species